rnacentral:rRNA from 1 species
ACAACUUUUAGCAACGGAUCUCUUGGUUCUCCCAUCGAUGAAGAACGCAGCGAAAUGCGAUAAUUAAUGUGAAUUGCAGAAUUCAGUGAAUCAUCGAGUCUUUGAACGCACCUUGCGCCCUCUGGUAUUCCGGAGGGCAUGCCUGUUUGAGUGUCAUUAAUUU